UUUGGAUUGAACCAAAAUUGAAAAAUUGAAGAGUCCCAAGCAACUGGGAUUCUCUCCCUUACGUAUGCCCUAGAUUCCAUGCCAUACAUAACAUGCAAAAGAAGUUUGUGUGAGGGAUUUUUUGGCAUGAGAAAAGAGGGCAUAGAGAUAGUGUGGGCGGUACUCAUGAUGAGUCGUGAACCUUAUCUCCUUCUUUAUUUGAAUUUGAUUCAAAUCAUAGAUAAGAAGAUAAGAAGGAAAGAAAUCAAGUUUCAUGAGAAAGUAUUGGUGGCACCAAAAUCCCUUUCCUUAUUCACAUUGAGAAGGUUGGUUGGCAUGAGAAAGAUCUGAUUUCUUUCUCACGCCAUCACAAAAAUUAGCGUGGAAAUUUUGGAUGCCAUAUCUUUUAUGGCGUGAAGGGUGUUGGCGCCUCUUCUUAACCCUAAUCCCUAGCCUACCUAUAAAAGGGAUCCAAUUGUUGGAUGCCCAAUAAGAGAAGUGUGAUUUCAAGAAGAAAAAAAUAAUUUUCUAUGGCCUCUCCUCCUUUCCUUAUUUUUUCUCCCUCUCUAGAGUAUCUAAGAGAUUCAAAGAAGAAGAAGAAAUCAGCCAUCAAAGAUCUUCAUGAGCUAGCACUUCUGAGGAGAUUGAUCAGCAACCGAUCUUUGUGUGGACGAUCCAUAGAGGCCAGACGUCUUGUGCAGCUACGAGCAACAUAAAGG
rnacentral:lncRNA from 1 species